UCCCUGGUGGCCCAGUGGUGAAGACACUAUGCUCCCAACGCAGGGGGCCUGGUUUGAUCCCUGGUCAGGGAA
rnacentral:tRNA from 1 species